UCAGAAAUGCAGGCAGUUUGAUU
rnacentral:snRNA from 1 species